GCUUCUCAAAUAGUGGGGCGCGCCCCCCUUGGGGGGCGCGGUGCUAUUCCUGGGGGGGCGCGUGUGACCCUGGGGAACAGGCUUUUUUUUUGGCAGUACUAGAAUAAAGUGUAAUUGCGAAUCUUCACAGCAGGUGCCUGCCUCCACCUGUCAGUGGAUCACCAGCUUCCUGACCAACAGGAGACAGCGUGUGAGGCUGGGGGGCAUCACAUCUGACACCCGGAUCACCAAUACUGGAGCCCCUCAGGGGUGACUCUUCUGUGAAGCUCCUGAAGUAUGCAGACGACACCACUCUCAUCGGACUGAUCCAGGACGGUGAUGAGACAGGAGGUGGAGCGGCUGGUCCACUGGUGCAGCCAAAACCAUCUGGAGCUGAACCCGCUCAAGACCGUGGAGAUGACAGUGGAUUUCAGACACCUUCAAGUUCCUGGGAACCACAAUCUCUCGGGACCUGAAAUGGACCAGCCACAUAGACUCUGUCCAGAAGAAGGCCCAGCAGAGGCUGUACUUCCUGAGACAGCUCAAGAAGUUCAACCUGCCGCGAGAGCUUCUGAAGACCUUCUACACUGCCAUCAUCCAGUCUGUCCUCUGCACCUCCAUCACUGUCUGGUUUGGAUCGGCCUCCAAACAAGACAAGCACAGACUACAACGGACAAUCAGAACUGCAGAAAAGAUCAUUGGAAUCAACCUCGCAUCUAUCCAAGACUUGUACCUAUCCAGAACCAGGAAACGUGCAAGGAACAUCUCUACAGACCCUUCUCACCCAGGUUGCAGUCUGUUUGAACUACUCCUCUCCGGACAGCGUUAUAGAGCUCGGUACGCCAAAACCAGCAGACACAGAGACUUCUGGGGGAGCUUCUUCCCCCAGGCUGUUGCUCUGAUGAACUCACACCACUCAUAGAGUCUCAGAGUCAUUACUGUGCAAUAACAUCUUGCUCUUCACACCUUUUUGAAUUUGUCUACACUGUUUUUGCCAUUAUUCACAUGUCCUGAGUGUUGUUAGUCACCUAAAUGUUGAACAGAGGGUGUGUUUUUACCGAAGUCAAAUUCCUUGUUUGGCACGCUCAAACAUGGCGAAUAAAAACUCUUGAAUCU